rnacentral:rRNA from 1 species
AUUGAACGCUGGCGGCAGGCCUAACACAUGCAAGUCGAACGAGUGGCGGACGGGUGAGUCAUGUCUGGGAAACUGCCCGAUGGAGGGGGAUAACUACUGGAAACGGUAGCUAAUCCCGCAUACCAUCGGAUGUGCCCAGAUGGGUUUAGCUAGUAGGUGGGGUAUCGGCUCACCUAGGCGACGAUCCCUAGCUGGUCUGAGAGGAUGACCAGCCACACGGGAACUGAGACACGGUCCAGACUCCUACGGGAGGCAGCAGUUGGGAAUAUUGCACAAUGGGCGCAAGCCUGAUGCAGCAAUGCCGCGUGUAUGAAGAAGGCCUUCGGGUUGUAAAAUACUUUCGGCGAGGAAGCGGUAUUCACAGAGAAAGCACCGGCUAACUCCGUGCCAGCAGCCGCGGUAAUUC